GCCUCUGUAGCUCAGUUGGUUAGAGCGCUGCACUGGAAUUGCAGGAUGCAGGUUCGAUUCCUGCCACGGACC